rnacentral:lncRNA from 1 species
AUCUAUCAUUUGCUUUCAGCAUUCUACGCUUGGUGGCGCUCUCUGUUUCUCAUAUAGACGACAUGUGUUUCCAGAGAAGAACGCGCAUCCUACCCAGUUAAGUAAUCUGAUCAAAUUCUUCGCUUCCAGUCUUCCUACCCCAGAUUCAGAAUGCCGAUGUGCUUGCAACCUAACGGCAAACUGCAGGUAACUGCAUCAAUGUCAACGGUGGAAGCCUGAUGUGAAGAUGUAGACCUGCUCUUGUAGGAAUGAAAUGGCACCCACUGUAAAGACGAGUAAAUUACACGUCGUUAAAGGAGGCAAGCUCCAUGUAAAUCGAAUGCCUGGAUGACAUAUCAUGUUAACAGUAAUUUCUGAAACGCACAUUUCUAUGGGAUGUUUCUGAAACGCAGAAUUGUAAACCAGAUUCCUGUUUCUC